GGUCUUGUUGUAUAAUGGUCAUUACACUCCGUUGCAAGACGAGAGCGGUACUGUUAAUAAGGUACCCUCCGAAGGGGGAGAGAUCUCGGUUCGAGCCCGGGUACGAUCA